CGGGAUGCUGUUCCUCUGUCCAGUGUCUGGGUUUUUGCCCAUCUUAAUCUUUUCUUUUUAUUGGCCAGUCUGAGAUAUGGCUUUUUCUUUGCAACUCUGCCUAGAAGGUGUGAAGCGGCUUUCGGCAACCUUACUGGAGACGACAAGAAGGGAUCCUGGUGUUCACAAUCAUCCAAUUUAAACCAGCCAGCUAUGAGGACUACGUGUAUCCCCAAUGGGCUCAGGGGAUUGGCUGGGUCAUCGCCACGGUGUCCAUCAUCUGGAUCCCCCUCAGAGCUCUUCUCACACUGUGGGUUCUGCCUGGCUUAAUCAAUGAGAUACUGAAUUACUAUAUACUCAUCUGUCCGUAUCUAUCUCUCUCUCUCUAUUCAUCUACCUACCUAUAGUAUAUAAAUAAUAAUAAUAUAUGCCAUUUAGCAGACGCUUUUAUCCAAAGCGACUUAGUCAUGUGUGCAUACAUUCUACGUAUGGGUGGUCCCGGGAAUCGAACCCACUACCCUGGCAUUACAAGCGCCAUGCUCUACCAACUGAGCUACAGAAGGACCACUAUAGCAUUAUUGCAACUUUACUACAACACCUUGCAGCCUCAAGAGGUUCUGGUGUAAUGGCUAAGCUAAGGUGUUGGACAGAAUUCCAUUUUUAUGUCAUUUUUGCCAUGUUUUAUUAAAGUUUUGUCUUCCUCCCCCGAGAGAUUAGUAAAGUGAUUCACCGGAGAAUGAGAAGUCAAAAGUACCGCACUACCUGGAGAUGGGAAGACAGACAUACCCAAACAUAGCAGUCAUCAGCUGCUUUGCUCCUCUACCAGAGAAGCCUCACAUUCAGACAAACCUCUGAUACUGACUCUCCCUACUGAUGGCCUCUGUGCCCGUGAGGUAGGAACUAUGAUAGGCUUGGAGAGCUUGGUGAGGGUUCACUCUGUAUGUUGAGCUUGAUUCACAUUGGGACUGGAAACCAAACUGUGGACUGUCUGUGGCCUCAAGAACUGACCACUAUUGGUGUGGUUUAUACACCAAUAGUAAAUCUCAAUACUGUAUUGAGAUUUAUACAGUAUUACAGAUUCAUCAAUGGGGACGUGGCUUGUUCUCCAAGUGAAUGUCAAGACCUUUUUUUUAACACUUAUAGUCAAUGUGAAAACAAAUACACAAAAUUGCUAUUUUAUAUUCAAAAAGCUUACCUACCUCUAUUUUGAGUCGUCAGAAUGGAAUAUGAUGAGGAGUGGGUAGUGGUAAACAUGACGGAUAGACCUUAACUAACAUGUCCAUAUGUUGCACUGUCUGAGCUUUGGUAUUAUGUCAUGUUUAAAAACAAUAUGCCACAUGUUACCAUGGAUAAUCUAAGUCAAUGAUCUUAGAACUGGUUGUUAGGCUACAUAUGAUAUAUUAUGUAAAAUAUCCAUUGCAAUCUGA